rnacentral:rRNA from 1 species
AACGAACGCUGGCGGCGCGCCUAAUACAUGCAAGUCGAGCGAGAAGACGUAGCAAUACGUUUGUAAAGCGGCGAACGGGUGAGGAAUACAUGGGUAACCUACCCUCGAGUGGGGAAUAACUAGCCGAAAGGUUAGCUAAUACCGCGUACGCUCCUUGGACUUCGGUUCAGGGAGGAAAGCGAUACCGUGGGUAUCGCGCUCUUGGAUGGGCUCAUGUCCUAUCAGCUUGUUGGUGAGGAACGGCUCACC